UCGAGAAUUUUUCACAAUGGGCGAAAGCCUGAUGGAGCGACGCCGCGUGGGGGAUGAAUGGCUUCGGCCCGUAAACCCCUGUCAUUCGCGAGCAAACGUUAUUAUUUAAAAGAUGAUAGCCUGAUAGUAGCGAAAGAGGAAGGGACGGCUAACUCUGUGCCAGCAGCCGCGGUAAUACAGAGGUCCCAAGCGUUGUUCGGAUUUACUGGGCGUAAAGGGUGCGUAGGUGGUGGGGUAAGUCGGAUGUGAAAGCUCCGAGCUCAACUCGGAAAGUGCAUUGGAAACUACCCUGCUCGAGGGUUGGAGGGGGGACUGGAAUACUUAAUGUAGCAGUGAAAUGCGUAGAUAUCAAGUGGAACACCAGUGGCGAAGGCGAGUCCCUGGACAACUCCUGACACUGAGGCACGAAAGCUAGGGGAGCAAACAGGA
rnacentral:rRNA from 1 species